rnacentral:rRNA from 1 species
AUACGAAGGGGGCUAGCGUUGUUCGGAAUCACUGGGCGUAAAGCGCACGUAGGUGGAUCAAUCAGUUGAGGGUGAAAUCCCGGGGCCCAACCUCGGAACUGCCUUCAAUACUGUUGGUCUUGAGUCCGAGAGAGGUGAGUGGAAUUCCUAGUGUAGAGGUGAAAUUCGUAGAUAUUAGGAAGAACACCAGUGGCGAAGGCGGCUCACUGGCUCGGUACUGACGCUGAGGUGCGAAAGCGUGGGGAGCAAACAGGAUUAGAAACCCCAGUAGUCC